AAAUCAUCAUGGUGACUUGCAAGUAAUUCACUAUGCUUUGGUGUCGGACUAUCUGUAUUUCUAAUAUAGUGAUAAAAAAAUUUUGAGCACAGUCAAGUACUUGCAAAUUCUGUGUGUGAAUCAAGAUAGAAUUGAUCGCUUCAGAUUUUUGGAGAUAAUGCUUCAAUGUAUUUCAAUUUAGUAAAAUCUUAGCCAAGAUAAUCUUUAUGAUGAGUCACAAGAUUUAUAAAGUUGAAACACAAUACAGAUGACUGAUUAAGAGUUUGACAAUUUAACUCUAAGGUCAACCU
rnacentral:lncRNA from 1 species